UGCGCAGGCGGGGAUGUAAGUCAGUGGUGAAAUACUGCCGCUUAACGGUAGAACUGCCAUUGAUACUGCAUCUCUUGAGUAUGGUUGAGGUAGGCGGAAUGUGUUGUGUAGCGGUGAAAUGCAUAGAUAUGACACAGAACGCCGAUUGCGAAGGCAGCUUACUAAGCCAUUACUGACGCUGAGGCACGAAAGCGUGGGGAGCGAACAGGAUUAGAUACCCUGGUAGUCC
rnacentral:rRNA from 1 species